AAACUUAAGUGCCUAAAACCGUUUAUUUUACCACUUCUUCAAACUAAGGAGAACUAAACGCACUGACGGCAUUCUCCAAAGGAAAGAAUCGCAUUUACUCGGUCUCCUGCCUU